AGCUCCAGCAGCGUAUAUUAAAGUUGCUGCGUUUAAAAAGCUCGUAGUUGGAUCUCGGGCCGCCGGCGGCGGUACGGUCACAUGUCCGUCGACUGCCGUCGGCGCCUAACCGGCGGGACGCAGCGGGUGCCCUUAGCUGGGUCGCCCGCGGCACCCGCCCAGUUUACUUUGGAAAAAUUAGAGUGUUCAAAGCAGGCGCCAGUGCCUGAAUAACGUUGCAUGGAAUAAUGGAAUAGGACCACGGAUCCUAUUUUGUUGGUUUGUGGAGAACGUGGUAAUGAUUAACAGGGACUGCCGGGGGCAUUCGUACUGCGGCGCGAGAGGUGAAAUUCUAAGACCGUCGCAAGACGAACUACUGCGAAAGCAUUUGCCAAGAAUGUUUUCAUUAAUCAAGAACGAA
rnacentral:rRNA from 1 species